GAUCCGGUGGGCCUGGUGUUUAGAGCGUCCGCGUCGGGUGAGGAAGGUCGCGGGUUCAAACCCCUUCCGAGUCA